GCCUUGGAAAAGAUUGUUUAUGUGAGUGUGAGAGGCCCUCUUAAGUUGGACAGCAGUAAAGAGAUGAAAAAUGACACCAUCCCCAGCCCUCAGGAAUACAGAUGAAGAUAAAUUGACAACAGAGGAGUCAUGUGUGGCUGUUCCUAAUGAAACCUUACCACACACUUGAAGGUGAUGAGGGUGCUUCUCACAUGGAAAAAUUGGAUUGGAGACCUCCGUGGACCGAGUCUCUUUGUCAGAUGACCUCCAAAGAUGACCCAUUUCCAAAAAACAGGUCAAGGCAGUUACCCUUUCUAGCAUCUCUCAUCUGGAAGUCCAAUGCCUCUAUUCUGUCUAUCAUCUCCAGAGCCUAGUCACUCCCUCUACUAGCAUGUUCUACGUAAGGUCAAAUCUCGGCUGGCUACUCAACUGUACACAUGCAACUGUCUCCCAGUCCAGCUGUCCCUGUCUUCCAUUGGGGCUAUCGGAAGAAAGGAAAAUGAAGAACAGAACCUUGAGGAUUACUUGGGGGAACUCAAGAGGGACAAGGUUUUGAGGAGGCUCAAACAGACAUCACUUAGCAAAGGAGGAUGAAAACUGGGGCAGAUAAGUGCCUGUCUUGUUUGCUGACACAAGAGUGUUCAGUCUAACACUGGUGACUAUGGUCUAGGCCCUGUUCCAAAUGAUUAUGAUAGACAUUGACGAUUCCCCCAUGGAAGGCCUCACCCUCCCUGGGGAACAGAAAGGGGUUGGGAUGGGAGUGGGUAGGGGGGAGGGGAGAAGGGAGGGAGAGGGAACUGAGAUUGACCUGUAAAAGAAGCUUGUUUCUAAUUUAAAUAAAAAAAAGUGUUCAGUCUAGCCA
rnacentral:lncRNA from 1 species